CUAUCUUCAGUUGUUCUGUAUCAUUAUUGCCCUCAAUGGAGAUUUCAUAGAAUAGAAACCGUCAGAGUCCCUUUGUACUUAUUUCCUCCAACUCAUUUCAAACGUCGUUUAGAGAUCUUCUAUCCUCUUCGGUCAUUGAUUCCAUUUUUUUAAGGAGCAUCCUCGAUCCAAACCCUCGAUUGUGUCUAUUGUUUUCUUUCCUCAGUCAUCGCAUGCAUCGUAUGAUUUACCUUUCGUCUCACAAAAUAGCAGGUAAAGCUUUUGAAUUUUUUGUGCUUUUUUUUUUUCUUGUACAAUCAUUGUGAUACUCGAUCUGUCCUCAUCUCCUGUUUGGAUUUUUUUUAUGACUAUCAAGGAGUCACCUUCUAUUUUCAGUUUAUGAAACCCUCUUUUCAGCCACCGUCACUGCUUGUAGACAUGCUUUCGCCUCUGUAAUGGUUGCAUCGGCUAUAAAAUUGUUCUGGUAAGUGCAUGCUGCUAAUAUAUAUCCCUCGACAUCUUUGAAUAUGAUUCUCGUAACCGAACUUAGCAUGUUUUUAUUAUAUGCCUUAUCGAAAUCACAAUUAACUUUAUUUUCUCUCAGUGGUUUCCAAAUACAAUCGUUUUGUUAUAUAUUUGUUGUUGUUUUUUGAACUAUGUGGUUACUUUCUACCUAGAAUGCUUUGAUAAAUGCAAUUAACCCA
rnacentral:lncRNA from 1 species